rnacentral:rRNA from 1 species
GACAGAGGGUGCAAACGUUGUUCGGAAUCACUGGGCGUAAAGCGCACGUAGGCGGCUUUCUAAGUCAGGGGUGAAAUCCUGGAGCUCAACUCCAGAACUGCCUUUGAUACUGGAAAGCUUGAGUUCGGGAGAGGUGAGUGGAACUGCGAGUGUAGAGGUGAAAUUCGUAGAUAUUCGCAAGAACACCAGUGGCGAAGGCGGCUCACUGGCCCGAUACUGACGCUGAGGUGCGAAAGCGUGGGGAGCAAACAGG